UCAACAUGAUGAAAUAUCCACCAAAUUCGCAGUUUUCACUCGAGUCACGGCCACGAGCUUUUCCGGCGGGCGCUUCUUUUCAAAAGAGGGCGUCUUAAGUGAUGCAUGAGGGCCAAUUCUUCCUUGGAUGUCUGACCGU
rnacentral:snoRNA from 1 species